UCCUGGCUACGAGGACGACGCUGGCGGCGUGCCUAACACAUGCAAGUCGAACGGAGUUUGAGAAGCUUGCUUCUCAAACUUAGUGGCGGACGGGUGAGUAACGCGUGAGUAACCUGCCUUUCAGAGGGGGAUAACGUUCUGAAAAGAACGCUAAUACCGCAUGAGACUACAGAACCGCAUGGUUCAGUGGUCAAAGGAGCAAUCCGCUGAAAGAUGGACUCGCGUCCGAUUAGAUAGUAGGCGGGGUAACGGCCCACCUAGUCGACGAUCGGUAGCCGGACUGAGAGGUUGAUCGGCCACAUUGGGACUGAGACACGGCCCAGACUCCUACGGGAGGCAGCAGUGAGGGAUAUUCGGCAAUGGGGGAAACCCUGACCGAGCAACGCCGCGUGAGGGAAGACGGUUUUCGGAUUGUAAACCUCUGUCCUCUGUGAAGAUAGUGACGGUAGCAGAGGAGGAAGCUCCGGCUAACUACGUGCC
rnacentral:rRNA from 1 species